rnacentral:rRNA from 1 species
CCUACGGGAGGGCAGCAGUGGGGAAUAUUGGACAAUGGGCGAAAGCCUGAUCCAGCCAUGCCGCGUGUGUGAAGAAGGCCUUCGGGUUGUAAAGCACUUUCAGUGGGGAAGAAAGCCUUGGGGCUAAUACCCUCGAGGAAGGACAUCACCCACAGAAGAAGCACCGGCUAACUCCGUGCCAGCAGCCGCGGUAAUACGGAGGGUGCGAGCGUUAAUCGGAAUUACUGGGCGUAAAGCGCGCGUAGGCGGUCUGAUAAGCCGGUUGUGAAAGCCCCGGGCUCAACCUGGGAACGGCAUCCGGAACUGUCAGGCUAGAGUGCAGGAGAGGAAGGUAGAAUUCCCGGUGUAGCAGUGAAAUGCGUAGAGAUCGGGAGGAAUACCAGUGGCGAAGGCGGCCUUCUGGACUGACACUGACGCUGAGGUGCGAAAGCGUGGGUAGCGAACAGGAUUAGAUACCCCGGUAGUC